AUUGAACGCUGGCGGCAGGCCUAACACACGCAAGUCGAGCGGAUGAGUGGAGCUUGCUCCAUGAUUCAGCGGCGGACGGGUGAGUAAUGCCUAGGAAUCUGCCUGGUAGUGGGGGACAACGUUUCGAAAGGAACGCUAAUACCGCAUACGUCCUACGGGAGAAAGCAGGGGACCUUCGGGCCUUGCGCUAUCAGAUGAGCCUAGGUCGGAUUAGCUAGUUGGUGAGGUAAAGGCUCACCAAGGCGACGAUCCGUAACUGGUCUGAGAGGAUGAUCAGUCACACUGGAACUGAGACACGGUCCAGACUCCUACGGGAGGCAGCAGUGGGGAAUAUUGGACAAUGGGCGAAAGCCUGAUCCAGCCAUGCCGCGUGUGUGAAGAAGGUCUUCGGAUUGUAAAGCACUUUAAGUUGGGAAGAGGGCAGUAAGUUAAUACCUUGCUGUUUUGACGUUACCGACAGAAUAAGCACCGGCUAACUUCGUGCCAGCCGCCGCAGUAACAC
rnacentral:rRNA from 1 species